GAUGAACACUGGCGGCGCGCCUAACACAUGCAAGUCGAACGAUUAAAGCACCUUCGGGUGUGUAUAAAGUGGCGAACGGCUGAGUAACACGUGGGCAACCUGCCCCUCUCAUUGGGAUAGCCACGGGAAACCGUGGAUAAUACCGAAUACUUCGGGACUUCCGCAUGGAAGACUCGGGAAAGCUCCGGCGGAGAGGGAUGGGCCCGCGGCCUGUUAGCUUGUUGGUGGGGUAAUGGCCUACCAAGGCAAUGAUGGGUAGCUGGGUUGAGAGACCGACCGGCCAGAUUGGGACUGAGACACGGCCCAGACUCCUACGGGAGGCAGCAGUGGGGAAUCUUGCACAAUGGGCGAAAGCCUGAUGCAGCGACGCCGCGUGCGGGAUGAAGGCCUUCGGGUUGUAAACCGCUUUCAGCAGGGACGAGGCGAAAGUGACGGUACCUGCAGAAGAAGCCCCGGCUAACUACGUG
rnacentral:rRNA from 1 species